rnacentral:rRNA from 1 species
CAAUAGCGUAUAUUAAAGUUGUUGCAGUUAAAAAGCUCGUAGUUGGAUUUCUGUGAGAGUGCCGGUGUCGGCUGAUGCUUGUACGCAGGCGCUCUUACAUCCUUCUGUUAACUGUUCUUGGCAUUUUAUCGCUGGUUCAGGGCUCAGAUAUUUUACCUUGAGAAAAUUAGAGUGUUUCAGGCAGGCUUAUGCCGGAAUACAUUAGCAUGGAAUAAUGGAACAGGACCUGUGCGUCUCUCGGGGCGCCGGUCUCCGUUGUUGGUUUCGGGGACUAAUGUAAUGAUUAAUAGGGAUAGUUGGGGGCAUUAGUAUUUAAUAGUCAGAGGUGAAAUUCUCGGAUUUGUUAAAGACUAACUUAUGCGAAAGCAUUUGCCAAGGAUGUUUUCAUUAA